rnacentral:rRNA from 1 species
GGGACACGUGGUAUCCUGUCUGAAUAUGGGGGGACCAUCCUCCAAGGCUAAAUACUCCUGACUGACCGAUAGUGAACCAGUACCGUGAGGGAAAGGCGAAAAGAACCCCGGCGAGGGGAGUGAAAAAGAACCUGAAACCGUGUACGUACAAGCAGUGGGAGCACGCUUAGGCGUGUGACUGCGUACCUUUUGUAUAAUGGGUCAGCGACUUAUAUUCUGUAGCAAGGUUAACCGAAUAGGGGAGCCGAAGGGAAACCGAGUCUUAACUGGGCGUUAAGUUGCAGGGUAUAGACCCGAAACCCGGUGAUCUAGCCAUGGGCAGGUUGAAGGUUGGGUAACACUAACUGGAGGACCGAACCGACUAAUGUUGAAAAAUUAGCGGAUGACUUGUGGCUGGGGGUGAAAGGCCAAUCAAACCGGGAGAUAGCUGGUUCUCCCCGAAAGCUAUUUAGGUAGCGCCUCGUGAAUUCAUCUCCGGGGGUAGAGCACUGUUUCGGCAAGGGGGUCAUCCCGACUUACCAACCCGAUGCAAACUGCGAAUACCGGAGAAUGUUAUCACGGGAGACACACGGCGGGUGCUAACGUCCGUCGUGAAGAGGGAAACAACCCAGACCGCCAGCUAAGGUCCCAAAGUCAUGGUUAAGUGGGAAACGAUGUGGGAAGGCCCAGACAGCCAGGAUGUUGGCUUAGAAGCAGCCAUCAUUUAAAGAAAGCGUAAUAGCUCACUGGUCGAGUCGGCCUGCGCGGAAGAUGUAACGGGGCUAAACCAUGCACCGAAGCUGCGGCAGCGACGCUUAUGCGUUGUUGGGUAGGGGAGCGUUCUGUAAGCCUGUGAAGGUGUACUGUGAGGUAUGCUGGAGGUAUCAGAAGUGCGAAUGCUGACAUAAGUAACGAUAAAGCGGGUGAAAAGCCCGCUCGCCGGAAGACCAAGGGUUCCUGUCCAACGUUAAUCGGGGCAGGGUGAGUCGACCCCUAAGGCGAGGCCGAAAGGCGUAGUCGAUGGGAAACAGGUUAAUAUUCCUGUACUUGGUGUUACUGCGAAGGGGGGACGGAGAAGGCUAUGUUGGCCGGGCGACGGUUGUCCCGGUUUAAGCGUGUAGGCUGGUUUUCCAGGCAAAUCCGGAAAAUCAAGGCUGAGGCGUGAUGACGAGGCACUACGGUGCUGAAGCAACAAAUGCCCUGCUUCCAGGAAAAGCCUCUAAGCAUCAGGUAACAUCAAAUCGUACCCCAAACCGACACAGGUGGUCAGGUAGAGAAUACCAAGGCGCUUGAGAGAACUCGGGUGAAGGAACUAGGCAAAAUGGUGCCGUAACUUCGGGAGAAGGCACGCUGAUAUGUAGGUGAAGUCCCUCGCGGAUGGAGCUGAAAUCAGUCGAAGAUACCAGCUGGCUGCAACUGUUUAUUAAAAACACAGCACUGUGCAAACACGAAAGUGGACGUAUACGGUGUGACGCCUGCCCGGUGCCGGAAGGUUAAUUGAUGGGGUCAGCGCAAGCGAAGCUCUUGAUCGAAGCCCCGGUAAACGGCGGCCGUAACUAUAACGGUCCUAAGGUAGCGAAAUUCCUUGUCGGGUAAGUUCCGACCUGCACGAAUGGCGUAAUGAUGGCCAGGCUGUCUCCACCCGAGACUCAGUGAAAUUGAACUCGCUGUGAAGAUGCAGUGUACCCGCGGCAAGACGGAAAGACCCCGUGAACCUUUACUAUAGCUUGACACUGAACAUUGAGCCUUGAUGUGUAGGAUAGGUGGGAGGCUUUGAAGUGUGGACGCCAGUCUGCAUGGAGCCGACCUUGAAAUACCACCCUUUAAUGUUUGAUGUUCUAACGUUGACCCGUGAUCCGGGUUGCGGACAGUGUCUGGUGGGUAGUUUGACUGGGGCGGUCUCCUCCUAAAGAGUAACGGAGGAGCACGAAGGUUGGCUAAUCCUGGUCGGACAUCAGGAGGUUAGUGCAAUGGCAUAAGCCAGCUUGACUGCGAGCGUGACGGCGCGAGCAGGUGCGAAAGCAGGUCAUAGUGAUCCGGUGGUUCUGAAUGGAAGGGCCAUCGCUCAACGGAUAAAAGGUACUCCGGGGAUAACAGGCUGAUACCGCCCAAGAGUUCAUAUCGACGGCGGUGUUUGGCACCUCGAUGUCGGCUCAUCACAUCCUGGGGCUGAAGUAGGUCCCAAGGGUAUGGCUGUUCGCCAUUUAAAGUGGUACGCGAGCUGGGUUUAGAACGUCGUGAGACAGUUCGGUCCCUAUCUGCCGUGGGCGCUGGAGAACUGAGGGGGGCUGCUCCUAGUACGAGAGGACCGGAGUGGACGCAUCACUGGUGUUCGGGUUGUCAUGCCAAUGGCACUGCCCGGUAGCUAAAUGCGGAAGAGAUAAGUGCUGAAAGCAUCUAAGCACGAAACUUGCCCCGAGAUGAGUUCUCCCUGACUCCUUGAGAGUCCUGAAGGAACGUUGAAGACGACGACGUUGAUAGGCCGGGUGUGUAAGCGCAGCGAUGCGUUGAGCUAACCGGUACUAAUGAACCGUGAG